rnacentral:lncRNA from 1 species
AGGCAGGCCCAGAGAGAACCAGAGAUGUGGGAACGGUGUAUUUUCAAGAAGGAAGCAGUUUCUUUUCAAUGCAGGAGAUUAUUUCCUAAACUGCUUAUUUAAAAGAGACAGAGAUGAGAGAGAGAAAAAGAGAGAAUCUCCUCUACCCAUCUUGUUGUGGUUAUAAAGAAUAUAAUUUUGCCUUUGUCUGAAAACCACCAUAUUAUUGUGGUUAUUAAACAACACGGUUUCCCUUCUUGGUGUCAGGCAAGGAGAGGAGCGAGGAGAGAGAGGAUGAAUGGAAAAUUCAUUUUCAAAUAAUAUAAAUUAAAAAUAAGUGUAUUAUUAGAAACUAAACCUGGCUGAUAAAGGCAGGAGAUGAGACACUGCAGUAAGAGAGAGAAAAGGAGGAAAAACAUAGAAAAUGGUUUGAUCAUCUAAAGAAUCUGCACAGAUUAAUCUGUGCAGAAUAAUCAGGAAAAACAAGUUGAGAGGGUGGCAACUGCUAUUUCCUACACAGUAGCUCCCCUACCUUAGGAAAAAAUGGGGAGGCAGCGACCUGUUGGGGUUGUAGUUUUACACUUUGAUUUUAGCAACAAGUAUCAAAAGAUCUAAACUAAUUGAUUGUCGAGUUACUUGGCCCUUCUCCAAAGAGCAAUAUAGAUUUAAUUGUAUGUUGCUUAAAACUCCAUUUCUGAACAGUGUGAAGCAUGUAAUAAAAGUCAUACACCGUAUCGGAGAUCCCCCCCCCCCCCCCCCGACCAAGCAUAAAUACCCAACUGACACUUGGAAAUCUUAGCUAAUACUCCUAAGGGGUUAAAAAAAAAAAGGCAUCUGAGAGGGGUAGCCACAUAAUAAAAUCUAAACUGUUAAUCCAUUUUAACUCAUUCAAAAAGAACCUGCGGUUGCGGGCAGGUUGUUUGGCAGAAGAGGGGUUGGGGUAAGGAGACCCCACAUCAGACAUCUGACUUGUUCAAACACGGUGCAUCUAAGCCACAUUCCCCUAAAGGAAAGCGAGUUCUGGCCUUCCAAAAGACACCAGAAAAAUCUCUACCCGGGAAACGGAGCUGAAAGUUGCAGCCGAACUGCCUGGCCCGAGCUCUCCUCUCUCUCUCAGCGAGAGGCUGGGAAGCCACUCUGUGGCCGUCUCUCUCUCCACCGGCCUCAGCCCGGCUUCCCCCGAGGGAGAGAGAGGGGGCUGCAG